GUCGCCAGGGUCGAGCCGUCCCGUUUGUUCGGUGGUUCGGUGGUCGGGGUGGCCUUGGAUGUUGGGAUUCUGGACUCCGUUCUUUUCUCCUCCGGUGUUACGUGAGCGCUUCAUUCACUUUGGAAAGCAAAGAGGAUGCCCUGAACGCUGAGGGGAGGGAUUUGAUAGAGACCUCCCACUUAGACUCUCUCUCUGGGUAAAGUCUAACUGUUUCCAACUGCUGCCAGGGGACGCUUCUCUGCCGAUGACUGUUUAAGGCACUGAUCU